AGUGAACGCUGGCGGUAUGCCUAAUACAUGCAAGUCGAACGGCAGCACAGGAAGAGUGUGCUCUUACGGGUGGCGAGUGGCGGAUGGGUGAGGAGUAGAUAGGAAUCUACUAUUUCUGGGGGGACAUCGGAGGGAAACAGAUACUACUAGCGCAUAUGUUCUACGGGUUGAAGCAGUAGUUAUUGGCACCUUUGCCGACUGAUUUAGACGGUGCCGGAUUAGCUAGUUGGCUGGGUAAAGGCCCACCAAGGCAACGAUCCGUAGCUGACCUGAGAGGAUGAUCAGCCACACUGGAACUGAGACACGGUCCAGACUCCUACGGGAGGCAGCAGUGGGGAAUAUUCGACAAUGGGCGCAAGCCUGACGCAGCAAUGCCGCGUGAGUGAUGAAGGCCUUCGGAUUGUAAAGCCCUGUUGUUAGGAAAGAAAAGCAGCGUAUUAAUCCACCGCUGUUCUGACGGUACCCAAAGAGAAAGCCACGGCUAACUUCGUG
rnacentral:rRNA from 1 species